rnacentral:miRNA from 1 species
UAUCCAGAAAGGCGCUCGUUAU